AUUACUUAAAAAUAGCCAUGAUGGAACUGCUGCCAAUAAUAAAAGCAAUAAAUGUGCAAUCAUUUCAAAGGCACGACAUUCAUUCACACAACCGCAAAUGAUCAUCCGCGCAGAGUACAAAUGCAUCAAAAGCAGUGGAACGGCACAUGUGACAAGCGCAAUCUGAUUUAUUUAUAACGCACUCGCCCGUUUGUUUUUUUGCAAGCAAUAAAUGGCAUCGUAUGACCAACGAAAUAAAUAAAUGAAAAAAGAAGCGGCGAAAAUAAGAGUUCCCUGGCACUUCCAUUUGGUUGUUGGGUCGACUGGCUGGCUGGCUGACUAACUUCAACAAUUGGAAUUCGAGGAAUUCGAGCAUGUGCCGCAGGCGAAUUUGAGUUGCCUGUCCAACAACGUAGCACUACUACUUACUCUUCGCACAUAGCAUUCCUCUGUAUUCAAACGGGUACAGUAAUGUACUACAUAAAUAUAUGCGAAAUAUGGUUAUGCUGGAGUCAUCACGCCUGAGUAGCUUUAAUUUCAUCACUACUUAAACGAGAAGCAGGCACAAAAAAAACGUGCGAUGGUUGAUGACGAAGUAUCGCCAGGAAAUUUUACGACGUAGCAAGUAUGACGCAUGCGACAAGCAAUGACGCUAUUCCCAACCGAGUUGUAUGUGUGAUAAUCAACUGACCAACACAAAAGUAAUCAAAGAACUGCUGAAAGCUUUAAAAAUAAGCCAGCAAAAUGGCAGAGGAUCAGAAACGCGUGCGUCAGCUCAGAGGCGUACAGUUCAAGAAUUUAGCCACAACUAAACAGCUAGUUGCCUGCUAAUUGAACAACAUUCGAUGACUUCUGUACCUGGUCACAGCUCCCAACACGCUCCAACGAUCAGCAGUUACAGUAAGCAAUUCAAAAGGGGAAAAACAACAGCAACGUCUGGAGGAAAAAAAAACAUUAGCGAAGUCAUUAAGACGUGUGUAGAGUAAAAAAUAAUAAUAAACAAGUUUUGAUCGGAUGAA